rnacentral:rRNA from 1 species
GAUGAACGCUGGCGGCGUGCCUAACACAUGCAAGUCGAGCGGAAAGACGAGGCGCUUGCUCCUUUGACGUUAGCGGCGCGCGGGGGAGAAACAUGUGUAUAACCCACCUAUAUGACUGGGAUUACUUCGGGAAACCGGCGCUUAUCCCGGAUAAUAUACUGAACCGCAUGGUUCAUUAGUGAAAGACGGCUUUGCUGUCACUUAUCGCUGGUUCCGGGCCGCAUUAGCUAGUUGGUAAGGUAACGGCUUAUCAAGGCAACGAUGCGUAGGCGAACUGAGAGGGUGAUCGGCCACACGGGAACUGAGACACGGUCCAGACUCCUACGGGAGGCAGCAGUAGGGAAUCGUCCGCAAUGGGCGAAAGCCUGACGGAGCAACGCCGCGUGUGUGAUGAAGGUCUUCGGAUCGGAAAACUCUGUUAUUAGGGAAGAACAAAUUUGUAAGUAGCUAUGCACUGAUUGACGGUACCUGAUCAGAAAGCCACGGCUAACUACGUG